rnacentral:ribozyme from 1 species
UCGAGUUGCUCUACUGGCCCAUCCUCG